UGAGCUAUGGUGUAAUGGUAACACACAAGAUUUUGGUUCUUGGAUUAUCGGUUCGACCCCGGUUAGCUCAA
rnacentral:tRNA from 1 species